rnacentral:lncRNA from 1 species
UAUGAUUUGCAUGUUCAUCAAAUAUGUGAUAAAUUGCAUUCUUAAAUGGUGAUCUUAAUGAAGUGGUCUAUGUGGAACAACCAAAAUGAUAGAGAACAUAAAAGUAUACAAACUAGUUAGAGAAUUACAUGGUUUGAAAAAUGAACAUGAGAAAUUGCAUGAAAUGUUUGAUUGUACAUAGUUUCUGAUGUAUUAAUUCAUAAUACUCUAUAUA